AACGUAGGAGACAAACGUUAUCCGGAGUUACUGGGCGUAAAGGGCGUGUAGGUGGUUCUGUAAGUCUGGCGUGAAAUUUCUCGGCUUAACCGAGGCAGGUCGUCGGAUACUGCAGGGCUAGAGGACGGUAGAGGCGUGUGGAAUUCCGGGUGUAGUGGUGAAAUGCGUAGAGAUCCGGAGGAACACCAGUGGCGAAGGCGACACGCCGGGCCGUACCUGACACUGAUGCGCGACAGCAUGGGGAGCAAACAGG
rnacentral:rRNA from 1 species